ACGCUGGCGGCGUGGAUAAGGCAUGCAAGUCGAACGAUGCAUUUCGGUGCAUAGUGGCAGAAGGGUUAGUAACGCGUGGGUAAUCUACCCUCGGGUUUGGGAUAACCUCGCGAAAGCGAGGCUAAUACCAAAUAACAUUUUGGUCUCGCAUGGGACUAAAAUCAAAGAUGGCUCGCAAGGGCUGUCACCUGAAGAUGAGCUCGCGUCCUAUCAGCUAGUUGGUGAGGUAAUGGCUCACCAAGGCUUUUGACGGGUAGCUGGUCUAAGAGGAUGGUCAGCAACACUGGGACUGAGACACUGCCCAGACUCCUACGGGAGGCUGCAGUCGAGGAUCUUUACCAAUGCCCGAAAGGGUGAGUAUGCGACGCCGCGUGUAGGACGAAGGCCUUCGGGUCGUAAACUACUGUCAGAGGUGAGGAAAGCUUAUGCGCUAAUAUCGCAUUUAUUUGACGAAGGCUCCAAAGGAAGCCACGGCUAACUCUGUGCCAGCAGCCGCGGUAAUACAGAGGUGGCAAGCGUUGUUCGGAUUUAUUGGGUGUAAAGGGCAGGUAGGCGGUCAUGUAAGUCUGUUGUGAAAUCCCAGGGCUCAACCCUGGAACUGCAAUGGAAACUACAUGACUUGAGUAUCGGAGAGGUGAGGGGAAUUCUCGGUGUAAGGGUGAAAUCUGUAGAUAUCGAGAGGAAUACCAGUGGCGAAGGCGCCUCACUGGCCGAUAACUGACGCUGAACUGCGAAAGGUAGGGGAGCAAACAGGAUUAGAUACCCUGGUAGUCCUACCUGUAAACGAUGUGGAUUAGGUGUUGGGGGAGUCGAUCCUUCCAGUGCCGACGAUAACUCAUUAAAUCCACCACCUGGGGAGUACGGUCGCAAGACUGAAACUCAAAGGAAUUGACGGGGACCCGCACAAGCGGUGGAGCAUGUGGUUUAAUUCGAGGCUACGCGAGGAACCUUACCUGGGCUUGACAUGUAUUCAGUAACCCUGGUGAAAGUCGGGGAGACCGUAUCCAAUCGGAGUCUAUUACAGGUGCUGCAUGGCUGUCGUCAGCUCGUGCUGUGAAGUGUUGGGUUAAGUCCCGCAACGAGCGCAACCAUUGCCCUUAGUUGCCAUCAGGUUAUGCUGGGAACCCUAAGGGGACUGCCGGUGAUAAACCGGAGGGAGGUGGAGAUGACGUCAAGUCAGCAUGGCCCUUACGUCCAGGGCUACACACGUGCUACAAUGGCCGGUACAGAGGGCAGCGAACCCGCGAGGGGGAGCAAAUCUCAAAAAGCCGGCCUCAGUUCGGAUUGUAGGCUGCAACUCGCCUGCAUGAAGUUGGAAUCGCUAGUAAUGGCGUAUCAGACAUGACGCCGUGAAUACGUUCCCGGGUCUUGUACACACCGCCCGUCAAGCCACCUGAAUCGGUGGCACCCAAAAUCGUUGAUCCAACCCUCACGGGAGGAAGGCGCUUAAGGUGAAACUGGUGAGGAGGGCUAAGUCGUAACAAGGUAAC
rnacentral:rRNA from 1 species